rnacentral:rRNA from 1 species
ACAAUGGGCGCAAGCCUGAUCCAGCCAUACCGCGUGGGUGAAGAAGGCCUUCGGGUUGUAAAGCCCUUUUGUUGGGAAAGAAAUCCAGCUGGCUAAUACCCGGUUGGGAUGACGGUACCCAAAGAAUAAGCACCGGCUAACUUCGUGCCAGCAGCCGCGGUAAUACGAAGGGUGCAAGCGUUACUCGGAAUUACUGGGCGUAAAGCGUGCGUAGGUGGUCGUUUAAGUCCGUUGUGAAAGCCCUGGGCUCAACCUGGGAACUGCAGUGGAUACUGGGCGACUAGAGUGUGGUAGAGGGUAGCGGAAUUCCUGGUGUAGCAGUGAAAUGCGUAGAGAUCAGGAGGAACAUCCAUGGCGAAGGCAGCUACCUGGACCAACACUGACACUGAGGCACGAAAGCGUGGGGAGCAAACAGGAUUAGAUACCCUGGUAGUCCACGCCCUAAACGAUGCGAACUGGAUGUUGGGUGCAAUUUGGCACGCAGUAUCGAAGCUAACGCGUUAAGUUCGCCGCCUGGGGAGUACGGUCGCAAGACUGAAACUCAAA